CCUACGGGAGGCAGCAGUAGGGAAUCUUCCACAAUGGGCGAAAGCCUGAUGGAGCAACGCCGCGUGAGUGAAGAAGUAUUUCGGUAUGUAAAGCUCUAUCAGCAGGGAAGAAAAUGACGGUACCUGAUUAAGAAGCCCCGGCUAACUACGUGCCAGCAGCCGCGGUACUACGUAGGGGGCAAGCGUUAUCCGGAUUUACUGGGUGUAAAGGGAGCGUAGACGGCAGCACAAGUCUGGAGUGAAAUGCCGGGGCUUAACCCCGGAACUGCUUUUGAAACUGUGCAGCUAGAGUGCAGGAGAGGGAAGUGGAAUUCCUGGGGGAGCGGGGAAAUGCGUAGAUAUUAGGAAGAACACCAGUGGCGAAGGCGGCUUACUGGAC
rnacentral:rRNA from 1 species